CCAGCAGCCGCGGUAAUCCCAGCUCAGUAGCGUAUAUUAAAGUUGUUGCAGUUAAAAGCUCGUAGUUGAAUUUCGGGACUAAUAUGUCGUCGUACUUUGUACGUACUAGCAUUAUGGUUUCUCCCUUCUGACGAACCACGAUGUCAUUAAUUUGGUGUCGUGGGAAAUCAGGACUGUUACUUUGAAAAAAUUAGAGUGUUUAAAGCAAGCUCGCGCUUGAAUACAUUAGCAUGGAAUAAUGAAAUAGGACGUUUGAUUCUAUUUUAGUUGGUUUCUAGGGAUCGACGUAAUGAUUAAUAGGGAUAUUGGGGGGCAUUAGUAUUCAAUUGUCAGAGGUGAAAUUCUUGGAUUUAUUGAAGACUAACUACUGCGAAAGCAUUUGCCAAGGAUGUUUUCAUUAAUCAAGAACAAAAGUUAGGGGAUCGAAGACGAUCAGAUACCGUCGUAGUCUUAACCAUAAACUAUGCCGACUAGGGAUCGGAUGAUGUUAAUUUUUUAAUGACUCAUUCGGCGCCUUACG
rnacentral:rRNA from 1 species